UAAAGGUCGAAAGGGGAGAUUCAGUAUCCGUUCCUCGCGGCCGCUCCCCGUCGCGGGUACAACUCCGGUCGGACCCCUCGCGGGGUUUUUCUCGACCGGGGCCCGCGGCGGGGUCUCGCGCGCCGGAGGCGGAGCGCACUUCUCCCCGAGUAGGACGCCGCGACCCGCUGGGCGUCUGUCUGAGGCCCGGGUGCGAGUCCGGUUCGCCCCUCGGGGCGGCCCGGAGCCCCGGUGUCCCGGCAGUCUGCCCGGCGGUCUUGAGUACGGAGCUGGCCCGCGAACCUCGCUUCGCGCCCGCGACCCUGGCGAGCGACGGCCGGUACCCGUCAGGCGGACUCGUCCGCCGCGGGCCGGCCGGCGUUGUCGGCCAGGGAUCCGCUCGGGCAGCGGUCACGCUAAAUCCCGUCUGCGGCGCUCAAAGCUGGGCGGCCCACCCGACCCGUCUUGAAACACGGACCAAGGAGUCUAACAUGUGCGCGAGUCAUUGGGCUCGAGCUAGCCCCAAGGGCGCAUUGAACGAGAAGGCGGGGCUCGCCCCCGCCGAGGGACGAUGGGGCGGCGCUCGCGCCGCCCCCGCAGUCCCGGGGCGUCUCGUCCUAGUUCCGCUCGUCGGUUCAAGGUGAGGCGCACCAAGAGCGCACACGUUGGGACCCGAAAGAUGGUGAACUAUGCCUGGCCAGGACGAAGUCAGGGGAAACCCUGAUGGAGGUCCGUAGCGAUUCUGACGUGC
rnacentral:rRNA from 1 species